rnacentral:misc_RNA from 1 species
GAUGAAGAACGUAGCGAAAUGCGAUAAGUAAUGUGAAUUGCAGAAUUCAGUGAAUCAUCGAAUCUUUGAACGCACCUUGCGCCCUUUGGCCAUUCCGAAGGGCAUGCCUGUUUGAGUAUCAUGAACACCUCAACUCUUCAUGGUUUGCCAUGAUGAGCUUGGACUUUGGGGGUCUUGCCGGCCUAUGGGUCGGCUCCUCUCAAAUUAAUCAGCUUGCCAGUGUUUGGUGGCAUCACAGGUGUGAUAACUAUCUACGCUUGUGGUUUUCCAUCAGGUAACCUUCAGUGAUGGAGGUUCGCUGGGGCUCAUAAAUGUCUCUCCUCAGUGAGGACAGCUUUUUUGAACGUUUGAUCUCAAAUCAGGUAGGACUACCCGCUGAACUUAAGCAUAUCAAUAAGCGGAGGA